rnacentral:rRNA from 1 species
AAAAUUUAAAUUAUUAAUACUAAAAUAGUAGAUAAUUAUUUAUUGAAACUUAAAUAAUUUGGCGGUAUUUUAGUUCAUUUAGAGGAAUCUGUUUAAUAAUUGAUAAUCCACGAAUAAAUUUACUUAAUUUAAAAUUUUGUAUAUCGUUGUUAAAAAAAUAUUUUUUAAUAAUAUUAAUAUUUAAUAAUUAUAAUAAAAAUUUAAAUCAGAUCAAGAUGCAGAUUAUAAUUAAGAAUAUAAUGGAUUACAAUAAAUUUAUUUAAAUGAAUAUUAAAUUUGUAAUAAUUAAUUGAAAUUGGAUUUAAAUGUAAUUUUAUUUAGUUUAAUAAAAUGAUUAUAAAUUAAAAUAUGU